GCCAGGCACGGGGGCGCGCGCCUGUAAUCCCAGCUACUUGGGAGGCUGAGGCAGGAGAAUUGCUUGAACCCGGGAGGCAGAGGGUGCAGUGAGCCGAGAUCACGCCACUGCACUCCAGCCUGGGUGACAGAGCGAGACUCCACCUCAA
rnacentral:SRP_RNA from 1 species